AUACGUAGGGGGCUAGCGUUGUCCGGAAUGAUUGGGCGUAAAGGGCGCGUAGGCGGCCCGGUAAGUCUGGAGUGAAAGUCCUGUUUUUAAGAUGGGAAUUGCUUUGGAUACUGUCGGGCUUGAGUGCAGGAGAGGUAAGUGGAAUUCCCAGUGUAGCGGUGAAAUGCGUAGAGAUUGGGAGGAACACCAGUGGCGAAGGCGACUUACUGGACUGUAACUGACGCUGAGGCGCGAAAGUGUGGGGAGCAAACAGGAUUAGAUACCCUGGUAGUCCACACUGUAAACGAUGAAUGCUAGGUGUAGGGGGUAUCGACCCCUUCUGUGCCGCAGUCAACACAAUAAGCAUUCCGCCUGGGGAGUACGGCCGCAAGGUUGAAACUCAAAGGAAUUGGCGGGG
rnacentral:rRNA from 1 species